AACGAACGCUGGCGGCAGGCCUAACACAUGCAAGUCGAGCGCCCCGCAAGGGGAGCGGCGGACGGGUGAGUAACGCGUGGGAACGUGCCCUUUGCUACGGAAUAGCCCCGGGAAACUGGGAGUAAUACCGUAUAAGCCCUACGGGGGAAAGAUUUAUCGGCAAAGGAUCGGCCCGCGUUGGAUUAGGUAGUUGGUGGGGUAAUGGCCUACCAAGCCGACGAUCCAUAGCUGGUUUGAGAGGAUGAUCAGCCACACUGGGACUGAGACACGGCCCAGACUCCUACGGGAGGCAGCAGUGGGGAAUCUUAGACAAGGGGCGCAAGCCUGAUCUAGCCAUGCCGCGUGAGCGAUGAAGGCCUUAGGGUUGUAAAGCUCUUUCGUGGGGGAAGAUAAUGACUGUACCCCAAGAAGAAGCCCCGGCUAACUCCGUGCCAGCCGCCGCGGUAA
rnacentral:rRNA from 1 species